CUCUUCCCCAAAAAUCUAAUCGGCACUCUCUUUCCCAAAAAUCAAAUAGACUGCUUCUUCUCCACCCUAUUCUCUAGAUUCCGACCACCUACCACCGGAAAGCACAACCACCACCAGACUGUCGCCACCAAGCUCUCCCCCUUCCCUUCUCCAUCCUUCGUUCUCUGUUUGUUGGGGAUGACAUUGCACCGUGCCACCGUCGCCUGAAGUGGCCUUUGACAGUCCGGCGCAAUGGUCAACGUGUUUAGUUUCUGGAAAAUGUGUUUAGGAAAAAGGUGAUGCACCUUAAUUGAUUAAAGGUCUUGAUAUUAGGAAAAAGGUCUUUUAGUUUCUGGAAAAUGUGUUUUUGGUAUUUCCUCUUGUACCAGUGUGUAAUAAAUAUUGUUGUAGAUGGAACAAAGUAAAAGGAGAAUGCCAAAUCUUUUCCAGAAGAGGUGUUUUUAUAUAAUAAUAGAUUUCUAGGCAGGCUUUAAUGAUUUAAAUGAGCACAUUUUCUGGUGCAGAACAACAGGACCUCGAGUAAAAUGCUAUAAACUUGGCCUGCAAAAUGUUCGAAGUAUGCAUUUAAAUUUUGCACUUUUUGGUCUUUUUUAACAUAACUGGUGGCCUUGUUCUACUUUGUAAUAUUUGGUUACUACAAUUGGAUUAAUUAGUUGUUGUACUAAUUUUUCAACAUAUUUGGUUGCUGCAAUUGGAUCUUCCUCUGCAAUCUGAUGUUUUGUGUAUGGUAGUAGAUGGCUUAAUCUGUGGUGGAUGGAAAUCGUUGCUUGUAUGGACGAUGGCGAUACAGAUUGUGAAUCCGG
rnacentral:lncRNA from 1 species